CUGCUUCUACUUUCUGUAUGGAGCUGGGAGCGUAUGCCUGUUGGACGCCCGAAGAGCGUCACGUUUAAUCCUUGGGAUGAAGAUGACGAAUUACGGCGCCCCACUUGGGCUCACAAGUGGGAUGUGGUAUCCGAGAUGAUGAACAAUGUCAAUCUCAUGUACCAAAAGUACGUUGCCGAGUUGGACACGAUUAUGCCUGAGCAGGUAACGAGGACAUUACUUCAGUCAUUUCUCAUGCUUGCUUUAAAAAUUGUCAUCAAUGUUGCUUUGUUGCCCUAUUUCAUAGGUGGUAUGGCAGCCAUAUGGCGCCAAUGA
rnacentral:rRNA from 1 species